UUCUGCCAAACAAAUCUGAUUCAGAUGUCUUUCACAAAAUUCCUCGAUGUAGGUUCGAUCGCAUUCCUCAAUGAAAAAUCGCAGAAGACCACCUCAUUAUAAAUACCUAGAAAAUAAACACCAGAACCUUGAAAUUCAACCUAACAAGCAAAUGACACAUCUGUAAUUCUCGUUUGCAAUAAUUUGAAUAACAAAUGCUUUGCUACGAUUUGAUAUAUGUAUAGUGCAAGUGUUACUACCACUACGGAUGUAUUCCGUGUGACCUUGAAGGAUGAGAAAACAAGUUCAAGGUUACUAUAUACCUGACCGGCGAUUCAUCAAGUUACUCAAUAAAAAGGAAGCUGAAGGUCCUAUAAAAAUAUCGGAUAAUAAGAUAAAUCUUAUUAA